rnacentral:rRNA from 1 species
CCCGCUGAACUUAAGCAUAUCAAUAAGCGGAGGAAAAGAAACUAACAAGGAUUCCCCUAGUAACGGCGAGUGAAGCGGGAAGAGCUCAAGCUUAAAAUCUCCGUGCAAGUUUUGCGCGGCGAAUUGUAGUCUAUAGAGGCGUGGUCAGUGAGGGCGCUCGGGGCAAGUUCCUUGGAAGAGGACAGCAUGGAGGGUGAUACUCCCGUUCAUCCCUGAGUGGCUCUUGCGUACGACCCGUGUUCUUUGAGUCGCGUUGUUUGGGAAUGCAGCGCAAAGUAGGUGGUAAAUUCCAUCUAAAGCUAAAUAUUGGUGCGAGACCGAUAGCGAACAAGUACCGUGAGGGAAAGAUGAAAAGAACUUUGAAAAGAGAGUUAAAGAGUACCUGAAACUGCUGAAAGGGAACCGAAUCGUUUCCAGUGUCUAUAAUCCGUGGCAUAUUUCAUUGGCGAGUGUGCGCGUGCGUGUGCUGUGGCAGUGGCUUUUUUGGCUGCGCUCGGCGUGUGUGCUGUGUGUGCUUGCUGGUGCCCUGUGGUGCGGUGGGACGUCAAGGUCAGUUCGUAUGCUGCGGGAAAUGGCUGCCGAGGAGGUAGGGCUUACGCUCCGCGUUUGUCUGUUAUAUCUUGGUGGACGAGUCGUCGCGGUUGGGACUGAGGUGCCUACAACGUGCUUUUGAGUGAGUGUGUGUCUCCGUGUGCGCCGUGUGCGGAUAGCUUGCUAUGCGUGUGUGGUUGUGCGUGGAUGGAUGCGUGCUUUAACUUGUCGCCGUUCGGGACGUUGACGAAAUGGAGCGAUCCGACCCGUCUUGAAACACGGACCAAGGAGUCUAACAUGUGUGCAAGUGUUAGGGUGUGGAAACCCCAGCGCGAAAUGAAAGUGAAGGGCAGCGCAAGUUGUCUGAGGUAGGAAACGUUGCGGGCUUCGGUCUGCGGCGUGGCACUAUCGACCGAUCAUGAGCCUUCGUGGUGAAAGAUUUGAGUUUGAGCACAUAUGUUGGUACCCGAAAGAUGGUGAACUAUGCCUGAGUAGGGUGAAGCCAGGGGAAACUCUGGUGGAAGCUCGUAGCGAUUCUGACGUGCAAAUCGAUCGUCAAACUUGGGUAUAGGGGCGAAAGACUAAUCGAACCAUCUAGUAGCUGGUUCCCUCCGAAAUUUCCCUCAGGAUAGCAGCAACUUAUUUACGAUAGUUUUAUGAGGUAAAGCGAAUGAUUAGAGGAUUCGGGGAAGAAACUUCCUCGACCUAUUCUCAAACUUUAAAUCUGUAAGACCUGCAGGUUUCUUAAUUGAACUUGUGGAUGUGAAUAUCAAGUUGCUAGUGGGCCAUACGGGGUAAGCUCGUCUGGCG